AUUAACACUAACAAUUAUUAAUAGAAACUUGGGUUACGGUGGAGGCAACCAUACGCAAUCCUUCAGUAUGACCCCAACCCAAGAGAAUGAAAAUAUGGAUCUCCAACCACACCGGCCACACGCAAUCCUUCAGUAUCACCCCAACCUAAAAAUAAAUAAAAUCUAGCCCCAACGAUCUCCUAUAGAAUCAUAUUCUUCCCGUCCAAUAGUAUUUCGUUAUUUCCAAAAGAAAAUUGUUUUUGACACCGGCAAUUGGCGCGGGGGGCUGGUUAUUUGGAAGCCGACUAAAGAAGGUAAUAUCUAUUAUUUGAUCCUUGUAAAAAGAAGUUUCUGUAUUUUAAUUAUACAUUGAUGGUGUUGUAUUUUGUUUGAUUUCGCCCUAAAAUUUUGGUACUUAGUGUGCUGAAUUUUCUGAGUUAGGUUGUGGUGGUUGCGGUUUAUGAUUUGCAGAAGGGUUUAUGUUUUUUGUUCAAAUUUUUGGCUGAGUGGAACAGAGUUUUCUGAUGGAAUUGCAUGUGUGGGGAACCCCUUAGUAAUAAGUCAUUUAUAUUGCCAUUUUAGUUAAGGCGUAUAGAUGAAGUUAACUAAAAAAAAUAUAAGCUAAUUACUGUUAUUUGAGCAUAUUUAUUUGGGCUUUUGUGGUUGUGUUAAUUUUUUGGAGAAUGAAUUUUUACAAGGCAUUUUCGUCUUGUUAAGACCUAAUAGAGUAAUGGGUUCUGCAUUUUUUAGCAGGAGCUGUUGAUUUGGAAGUACAAUAAAUUUUUUAAAAAUUAAAAUGGUUAGAUUAAUUAGAGUUUCCUUGUUAAAUUUAGAGUGAAGUUAUUAAUUUGUUUUCCUCAACUUGUUAACUAUAUUGUUUAGUUCAGUAAUAUGUUGUUUAUAGUGUUAUCUAUCAGUUUUUUUAUAACAAAUAGGGUUGAUUUUGCUAGAAAUAAUUUGGUAAUGGAUUUCGAUCUGUGGGUGAGGGACCAUCAACAUUAUUGUUAAAUAGAAGUUUAUUAUGAGGGGAUGUGAUUGGCACUAUUAAUGUUGAAUUUAAUUUAUUUAUGCAACAUUAUUAAGUGUAAUGUCACUACACCAAAUACCCAUUAUCAUAACACAUUAUUAUAAUACUAUUUAAAAAGAGUUAUUGUAUAUAUAAAGUUAAUGAGUAAAGUCACACGCGACAUGUUAAAAAAAAGCGGCAAGUGAAAAAAAAAAAGAGGCAAAUUCUCCUUCUCAUUUUCCCUGUCUCGGACCGAAGUCUUCAUCUCUUUCUCUCUCUGUCUCAGUCUUCAUCUCUUUCGCAUUUUCCCUAUCUCGGACCGAAGUCUUCAUCUCUUUCUCUCUGUCAACCAUCUCUUUCUCUCUGUCUCAUUUUCCCUAGCUCGGACCGAACCAGUCUCCAUCUCUUUCUCUCUCUGUCUCAUUUUCCACCAUAUUUUCCUUCUCUCCUUUCUCUUCCUGCUAUACCCAUCACCACCUCCUCCUCCUCCUCUCUCGAACCGAACCACUGCCUCUCUCAGAUCGAACCUCCUACUGGAGCCUUGACGAAGAAAAAAAAAUGGAGCCAAAGUAAAUCUCAAGAUAUAUGCCUCCUCCUCAUCAUUUUCAUCUCCAUUUCAAUUUUCAUUUCAGAACCGAACAAAGGCACCUAGAACGUCAAGAGGAAACAUUUUAAAAUCAUCUGAAGGAUCGAAUGGCAAUAGUCCAUCAGCCAGCCCCUGGGGCAACAUCAUUGACAAACUCAAUGGACUCCUUUGUACAUUGAGAGAAAAAAUUGUUCCUCCAGUUCUUGCUCAGAAGAUAUUUUCUCAGGUUUUUACGUAUAUCAAUGUGCAACUCUUUAAUAGCCUUCUUCUACGUCGAGAGUGUUGCACUUUCAGCAAUGGGGAAUAUGUGAAGUCUGGUUUGGCUGAAUUAGAACUGUGGUGUUGCCAGGCAAAAGAAGAGUAUGCGGGCUCGUCUUGGGAUGAACUCAAACAUGUUAGGCAGGCUGUUGGAUUUUUGGUUAUACAUCAGAAAUCUAGAAUUUCAUACGAUGAAAUUACAAAUGACCUAUGCCCAGUAAGUUUCUCUUCUCUUGUAAAACUGGGAGAACAUCAACUGUGGAUGUUUCCAGGAUGCAAUAUUCCGAGUUGUGGCUACAAUACUCCACUUAGGGAAUAUCGAAUUUUCAAAGGGGACAGAAUCAGAUUCCUCUGAACCCAAGGAUGAGAAAUCACGGUUCCAUCUCAAAACAGCAGCUGAGCUUUUCAUGUGCAAUGAGAAGUCUCUUGAGGACUCUUUAUGCAAACGUGUGAUUGUGACCCGUGAUGAGACUAUAACAAAGUGUUUGGAUCCAAAUUCUGUAGCUCUCAGUAGAGAUGCUCUGGCUAAAAUUGUUUAUUCAAGAUUGUUUGAUUGGCUUGUGAACAAGAUCAAUAACUCUAUUGGUCAAGAUCCUGAUUCGAAGAACUUGAUUGGGGUUCUUGUAAUGCCCCGAAUUCUCCGUUGUGUUUAACGGCGUGAACAGUAGGCCGGGAGGGCCAUACUUACUUAAAUAUGUUGUUAAUUGAUAAAAUGCAUGUAUAUGUUGAUUAUAUUAUGAUAUGAUGUGAAAUGCAUGCAUGUGAGUCCAUAUUUCUAUCCACAGGGGUGUGAUGGUAAUUUGGCCCGUUGAGGGUAAAUUGAUUAUUUAUUCGCAUGUUGGUGAUAUAAUUUGAGACCACAUUAUGAUGUGGGUUUGGUCGAGCUAUUUGGCAUGAGACGAUCAAGGAAUGUUAAAUAUCGGUUUGGUCAUAACGGGCUUAAGCUUGGGGCUCGGGGUGAGUCUCGGGGUGUUUUAAUGAUUAGAGUGUUACCGGGCAUUGAAGGGUAACGGGAGGUGAAAUAUUGGUGUUUGAGGAUAUUGAGAUUAGUGGGAAUUGGGAAGUGUUAGUUAUGAUUAACGGGAUUAGUGGAAAGUGCCAAAAUUGCCCUUGAGUUGGUUUUAGAAGCUUUAAAAGAACCUAGGGGUAUAAUGGUCAUUUGGGAUUUGGAUAUAUAUGGUUUAGAUGGCUGUAAAAACAGAACCAAAAACAGAGUUUACUUCUCCUCCUUCCCGUACCUUCACCUUCCUUCUUUUCCCUUGUGAGUUUUUGUGAUCUUGUUGAGGAUUUGAGCUUGGGAGCUAGGCCUUGACACUUUGGGAGAGUAUUCCACUGUGGAAGAGCACCAUAACCUGAACUUGAGGUAAGAUUUUAGCCAUUAGUUUCCAUGUAUGCUCUGUUUUCGUUUUAGGAUUUCAGCUUUAGAAUUUGGUGUGGAAAGUUGGAAUCAAGGGGAGUUUUGUGGUGUUUUACUUAGGUUAUGAUGAGGGAGAGUUAUGAGUGAUGUUUGGUGGUUUAAAUGGGUAUUUGAAAGAGGUUUGGGUGGUGUUUAAAUUGGGUUUGAAGGGCUGGUUCCAAGAGAAAACGCAAGGGAAGAAAUACAGGGGUUUUGGCUGAACUGGAGCUUGCGCCGUGGCAUGGCAGGGGUGAGCCGCGGCCCUUGGGAGCUGCUGGGUUUAGGUGCCUCUGUUUGAGGGGCGGGCCGCGGCCCUUAAGGCAUUUUUGGCCAAAGUGAGCUUUUUGGCUUGGGGAUUCAAACCUAAGGCCUCGGGAUUGAACCUACUACCCGGUUGAGUAGUGUUUGAGGUCUCGGAGGUUAGGUUUUGGUUUGGGAACCUUUUAUUAUUCAUUUUAUUGAUGGAAUCCUAUAAUUUGCUUAUGACCAGGUAACUUCUAAAGGACCAAAAAGUCGAUCGUUCUCAGGGUUGUUCUUAUAUUAUUUCUAGCUCGAAACAAAGGUAAGAAAACUGCACCCAAAGUGUGACAUGCAUGGAUAUUUGUGAGGCAUGUUGAUUGUAUAAAUAUGGACAUGGACUGAAUACAGAAUCAACAAAAGUGUUAGUAUCAGCUGUGAGGCUGUGACUUAUUUGUCAGGCUCGGCAGUGUUACUAGACACAGGUCAGGAAGCGCUGAUUUAUUUGUCAGAACGGCCUUAGCGUGAGUCACGCAAGCCAACAGAGAUUAGAUCUAAUCGACUACUAGCAUUGAAUGACUCUAGGAGCAUUAAUGCCUGACCGACCUUGAGGUUCGAUGAACGAACAGAGCUUGGAGGCUAGUGGCUUACCUAGCAGCCACUCUCCCGCUACAAAGCAGAGCUUGGAGGCUAGUGGCUUACCUAGCAGCCACUCUCCCGCUAGAAAACAGAGCUUGGAGGCUGGUGGCUUACCUAACAGCCACUCUCCCGCUAAAGUCAUGUGUUACUCAUUUGUUUGAAAGUUUUAUGCUCAGUGUGGUUAUAAUGAUAAUCAUUUGAUAAUGUUUAUGAAAAGUAUUAUGUUUUCUUGCUGGGCUUUGGCUCAUGGGUGCUAUGUGGUGCAGGUAAAGGGAUUGAAAAGCUCACCUAGCCUUGAGUGGAGAGCUGAUGUGGUGAUGUGUACAUAUGCGGCCGCUUGACCACCACGGCCAAGGCGUUCUCAGAGGAACUAGGGGGUUUACCCUAUUUUUGCCGCUUAGGUCGGCGGGAUUGUAAAUUUAAGACUGUAAUGACCAUUUUGUACUGAGAACCACUUGUAAAUAUUUUGUUUAGCACAUUUUUUAGUGCUGAAAAUGGUCGGUGGUCGCGGCCACUGAAUGUUGCUGGCCGCGGCCAUUAAUGUCUCUGGCUUAGUCCUUUGGUUUUCUUGAGAUAACCUAGGAUUCUUCCAAUUGCCUACUAGUGAUCCACACUUGGAUUACUUGUAAACAUACUAAGUUUACUUACCACAAAUGCUAUAUUAGGUCUAGUACACUGGGCAACGUACAUUAGACUCCCUAUAGCACUAGCGUACUCCAAUUGAGCCACUGCUCUUCCUUCAUUCUUCUCUAUUUUUACACUAUGAUCGAAUGGAGUAUUGGCAUCUUUAACCUUGAGAUGGUUAAAUUUGUUCAAUACUUUCUCAACAUAGUGGGCUUUCCCUAACGCAAAACCACCCCUAUGUUUCUUUACUUUGAUAUCGAGUAUGGUAUCAACUUCUCCAAGAUUUUUCAUCUUGAAGGUUGAUGAUAGAAACUUCUUCGUUUCUUCUAUCCCUUUCACGAUUUUACUUAGAAUAAGCAUGUCAUCUACAUAUAAGCAAACAAUGAUUAUAUAUCCCUUACAAGUUUUGGAAUACAAACACUUGUCUCCAUUGUUAUGUCUAAACCCAUUAGACAUAAUGACUUGAUCAAAUUUCUCAUUCCAUUGCUUAGGAACUUGUUUCAAUCCAUAUAAGGAUUUUACAAGUAUACAAACUUUAUGUUCAUAUUUUGGUAGGACAAACCCUUCGGGUUGUUCCAUAUAGACCUCCUCAUUGAGGUCACCAUUAAGGAAUGCCGUUUUGACAUCCAUUUGAUGAACAUACAAGUUGUGUAUAGAAGCUAAAGCGAACAAAAUUCUUAUAGAAGUUGUUCUUGCAACAGGCGCAUAGGUAUCGAAAUAAUCGAUACCCUCUUUUUGCCUAAACCCUUUAGCUACUAAUCUAGCUUUAAAGGUUUGGAUAGUGCUGUCAUUGUGGUAUUUUCUCCUAAAUACCCACUUACACCCAAUUGGCUUAGACCCCGGUGGGAGGUCUACCAAUUCCCAAGUGUUAUUGGAAAGAAUGGAAUCCAUCUCAUCACUGAUGGCUUUUUUCCAAAAUGCACUAUCUCUCGAUUGCAUAGAUUCUGUAUAAGUCUUAGGAUCAUCCUCAACGAGAAGUACAAUAGGAAUUUUCCUAAUGAAUUCCUCUCUAUUUCCUUCUACCAUGUAGAAUGAAAUUCGUUGAGAAUCUAUCUCAUCCACUACUAGACUUUUAUGAUUUUUAAGCCUUUGACUUCUUCUAGGUUCAAAGGGUUGCUUUACAUCCUUUUGAGAAUUCUCCUCUUGAGAAUCAACUUUGGAUGUAGAAGCUUGAGAAUUGUUCUCAUAUAACAAAUUCUCCUUUAGAGAUGUUGAAGCUUGAGAAUUGUUGUCACAUAACAUAUUCUCAAAAAAUUCAACUUCUCUAGAUUCAAUCACAAUAUUAGACUCUAAGUCUAAUAGCCUAAAAACUUUACUAUUGUUGGCAUAACCAACAAAAGCACUCUUUAUGGCUCUUCAACCUAACUUUGUUCUAUUAGGUUCGUUUUUCUUGCAAUAUUCAAGACACCCCCACACUUUGAAGUACCCUAUGUUGGAUUUUCUUCCUUUCCAUAACUCAUAUGGAGAUGUCUCAGUUUUCUUCAUCGGUAUUCGAUUAAGAAUAUGACAAGCGGUUAAAAGCGCUUCACCCCAUAAGUUGAAGUUCAACUUAGAAAAUACCAACAUAGAAUUUAUCAUCUCUAGAUAAGUCCUAUUUUUCCUUUCGGCAACACCAUUGUGUUGUGGUGUAUAAGGUGCAGUGCACUCAUGAAUUAUACCAUUUUCUUCACAAAAUGUAUUGAAUUCAUUAGAGAAGUACUCUCCUCCUCUAUCACUUCUUAGCACCUUAAUCUUUUUAUUUAGUUGAAUUUCAUCUUCUAAUUUAUACAAUUUAAAAGCAUCAAAAGUUUCAUCUUUAUGCUUUAAAAGAAACACAUAGGUAUAUCUACUAAAAUCAUCUAUAAAAGUAAGAAAAUACCUUUUACCACCUCUAGUUAAAACACCAUUUAAUUCACAAAGAUUACUAUGGAUUAAAUCUAGUAAAUUAGAUGGUCUUUCUACACUAGGAAAUGGUUUCUUAAUCGGAGAACUUUAUUUGAUAUUGGGUAGUUAUUUGGAUAUUCAAUGAUAUAAAGUUAUAUAGGAUUUUCCGAGAAAAUAUUGGAUAUAGUUUGAUAUUGGGCAGUUAUUUGGUUAUUCAAUGUGAAAGAGUCAAAAGUGUUUUUUUUGCUGACUGAGUUUGCUAGAGACUGGAGUUUCUUGUUGUAAUUUUCUUCAAUCUGAUCUUGUUUUUAUUCCCUGUACUUUUUAGCUUAAGAAAUUUGCUUGUCAUGUCUCAUUUUUUGUUUCUUGUGAACCUUUGUUAUUGACACCGAGUUAGAUGCAAUUUUUACUGACUCAGGUCAAAAGAACACUAGAAUAAUUUACACCAGCUCAGUGGGACAAAGAUGAGUGGCAUCCCCUGCUUGGUCCAUGGCGUUUCAUUCAAGUUGUUAGUCUUUGUAUCGUCUUCCUCACAGUAGAGCUCAACACCUUUUUUUUGAAGUUCUGUUUGUGGAUUCCUCCUCGAAACCCCGUUAUUGUGUAUAGGUUGAUAUUGUGGUGGCUAAUAGCAAUCCCUACAAUCCGCGAGUACAACUCAUAUCUUCAAGACAGGUACACUACCCUCUUUCUCUAUCUGACAUAAUCACUAGCAGCACAUCCUUUUCCUUUUCUUGAAAUGAAUUCAUAUACCCUCUUGGCCUACCAUUUCUAGGGUUUUAACCUUUUCAUAAUCACUGUGUCCAAAUUGCAGAAAACCAGCGAAAAAAGUCGGCGCAUUCUGUUGGCUUUCCUUAGCUAUUUGCAUAGUAGAGCUUCUCAUUUGCAUCAAGUUUGGACAUGAAGAUGAUAAUUUGAAAGUUGCCACUGUUGGACAGUGCCCUGAAGGUGAUACUGCAACGACUAACAAAUUGUUGCAAGCUUGACAGCAAAAAGAGAUGGUGAAAUUAGAAAAGCUGCUUUGAAUACUCUUGCCACUGGAUAUAAGAUUCUUGGUGAGGAUAUAUGGAGGUAUGUUGGGAAGCUAACAGAUGCUCAGAAAAGCAUGAUGGAUGAUAGGUUUAAAUGGAAGGUUUGAGAGAUGGAAAAAUGGAAGGAAGGGAAGCCUGGUGAAGCCAGAGCUGCUUUGAGACGUUUUGUGAGGGAAAUUGGAUUGGAUUCAGCAGAGCAAAGUGGAGAGGUUACACGAUAUGUCUCUGGCCCAGUACUUCCAAGAAAAACUAUGGGAAUGCUGACAUACAUGUGGAGAGACAACUUAUGCCCCAUGUUCUUGCUGGUACCAAUGGCCCCACUGAUUGGAAUGAAGCUUUAGAUAUUAUUUCUUUUGGUUCUCCUGAGUAGUCUGUUGAAGGAAUGAAAGUCGUGUGUCAUGAGCUAACACAAGCCACUAAUGAUCCAGAAGGCAGUGCAAUGGAUGAACUUAUUAAAGAUGCAGACAGACUUGUUUCAUGCCUUGCAAACAAGGUUGCCAAGACCUUUGAUUUCAGCUUGACAUGAGCAUCAUCUAGAUCUUGUAAAUAUGUUCUCAACACCCUCUUGCAGACUGGCUUAUGCUGUCAGGGAAAGCACUCUUGAUAGUCUAAUUACUGAGCUCCUUCUAUGGCUGUUCGAUGAGAGAGUUCCACAUAUGGAUGAUGGCAGCCAGCUUUUAAAAGCUUUGAAUGUUCUGAUGCUAAAGAUUCUGGAUAAUGCAGAUCGAACUUCAUCCUUUGUUGUUCUCAUCAAUCUCUUAUGUCCAUUAGAUCCUUUAAGGUGGCCCUCACCUGCAUCAAAGGAGACAUUUGCUGUCAGAAAUCAGAAGUUCUCUGAUCUGAUUUUUAAAUGUUUGAUAAAACUUACAAAGCUUCUCAUAGGUUCUUC